GCCCUCGUAGCUCAAUGGACAGAGCGUCUGCCUUCUAAGCAGCAGGUUGCAGGUUCGAUUCCUGCCGGGGGCA
rnacentral:tRNA from 1 species